UACCUCUGGUGGCCUUAUGGUUAGAACGUCCGCCUUGGAUGCGGGAGGUCGCGGGUUCGAACGCCGGCCGAGUAU